GAACGCUGGCGGCGUGCCUAAUACAUGCAAGUAGAACGCUGAAGAGAGGAGCUUGCUCUUCUUGGAUGAGUUGCGAACGGGUGAGUAACGCGUAGGUAACCUGCCUUGUAGCGGGGGAUAACUAUUGGAAACGAUAGCUAAUACCGCAUAACAAUGGAUGACACAUGUCAUUUAUUUGAAAGGGGCAAUUGCUCCACUACAAGAUGGACCUGCGUUGUAUUAGCUAGUAGGUGAGGUAAUGGCUCACCUAGGCGACGAUACAUAGCCGACCUGAGAGGGUGAUCGGCCACACUGGGACUGAGACACGGCCCAGACUCCUACGGGAGGCAGCAGUAGGGAAUCUUCGGCAAUGGGGGCAACCCUGACCGAGCAACGCCGCGUGAGUGAAGAAGGUUUUCGGAUCGUAAAGCUCUGUUGUAAGUCAAGAACGGGUGUGAGAGUGGAAAGUUCACACUGUGACGGUAGCUUACCAGAAAGGGACGGCUAACUACGUGCCAGCAGCCGCGGUAAUACGUAGGUCCCGAGCGUUGUCCGGAUUUAUUGGGCGUAAAGCGAGCGCAGGCGGUUUGAUAAGUCUGAAGUUAAAGGCUGUGGCUCAACCAUAGUUCGCUUUGGAAACUGUCAAACUUGAGUGCAGAAGGGGAGAGUGGAAUUCCAUGUGUAGCGGUGAAAUGCGUAGAUAUAUGGAGGAACACCGGUGGCGAAAGCGGCUCUCUGGUCUGUAACUGACGCUGAGGCUCGAAAGCGUGGGGAGCGAACAGGAUUAGAUACCCUGGUAGUCCACGCCGUAAACGAUGAGUGCUAGGUGUUGGAUCCUUUCCGGGAUUCAGUGCCGCAGCUAACGCAUUAAGCACUCCGCCUGGGGAGUACGACCGCAAGGUUGAAACUCAAAGGAAUUGACGGGGGCCCGCACAAGCGGUGGAGCAUGUGGUUUAAUUCGAAGCAACGCGAAGAACCUUACCAGGUCUUGACAUCCCGAUGCUAUUUCUAGAGAUAGAAAGUUACUUCGGUACAUCGGUGACAGGUGGUGCAUGGUUGUCGUCAGCUCGUGUCGUGAGAUGUUGGGUUAAGUCCCGCAACGAGCGCAACCCCUAUUGUUAGUUGCCAUCAUUCAGUUGGGCACUCUAGCGAGACUGCCGGUAAUAAACCGGAGGAAGGUGGGGAUGACGUCAAAUCAUCAUGCCCCUUAUGACCUGGGCUACACACGUGCUACAAUGGUUGGUACAACGAGUUGCGAGUCGGUGACGGCGAGCUAAUCUCUUAAAGCCAAUCUCAGUUCGGAUUGUAGGCUGCAACUCGCCUACAUGAAGUCGGAAUCGCUAGUAAUCGCGGAUCAGCACGCCGCGGUGAAUACGUUCCCGGGCCUUGUACACACCGCCCGUCACACCACGAGAGUUUGUAACACCCGAAGUCGGUGAGGUAACCUUUUGGAGCCAGCCGCCUAAGGUGGGACAGAUGAUUGGGG
rnacentral:rRNA from 1 species